rnacentral:lncRNA from 1 species
AGGUCGGUGCUGGUGUUUAGCGGGGGCCCAACACACCUCGGUCUCCUCACCCACCUAAGCGGGGAGAGUGGCGCACAACGUGGCCUGACUCCAUCCUCUGGUAUCUCGUGCCUCAGUUUCCCAUCUGUAAAUGGAACACACGCGAUUUCAGCCGCCGUUCAACCUUUCUAAAAGCUUUCACAUCCAUUAUCUGACUGGUGUCUCAAACUGCUACUGAGGCUUCAGCUCUGAUCUGGACCAGUGCUCUCCAGGCCUACUGCACAGCUGUCAUACUGAACUUUCCUAUAUCCUACACCUGGUUGGGAUUCCCUGUGCCCUGGACCUUGUGUCUCAAACUUCUAGAUUGUGGAUUUACUCUGUCAUCUCUGUGCAGCACAUCUUUCUGUAGAUUCCUGAGAAAGGUUGCAAAGAAGCAAAUAUAUUUAGUCCUUGUAUGUCUAAAUAUGCAUUUAUACUGUUUUCACACUUGAUUAAUAGUUUAGCAGGGUAUAGAAAUCUAGGCUGAAGGCCAGGCGCCAUGUCUUAUGCCUGUAAUCCCAGCACUUUGGGAGGUCGAGGCAGGCAGAUCACCUGAGGUCAAGUGUUUGAGACCAGCCUGGCCAACAUGCUGAAACCUUGUCUCUACUAAAAAUACAAAAAAAACAUUAGCUGGGCAUGGUGGCACAUGCCUGUAGUCCCAGCUACUCGGGGAGGCUGAGGCAGGAUAAUCACUUGAACCCAGGAGGCAGAGGUUGCAGUAAGCCAAGAUUGCACCACUGCACUCCAGCCUGAGCGACAGAGGGAGCCUCCAUUUCAAAAAAAAAAAAAAAAAAGAAAUCUAGGCUGAAAAUUAUUUCUCUCAGAAUUUUUAAAACAUUGCAUUAUUGUUUCUAGUAUCCAGAUUUAAGACAUCUAAUGCCAUUCUUAAUCCUGUUGCUUUAUAUGUGUCUUGUUCUUUUUUUAUUUUUAAUCUUUGAAAACUUUUAGGCUAUCAUCUUUAUCCAUAAUGUUGUAUUUGAUGAUGACUCCCCUCAGUGAGGCUUUUCCUCACUUGUGUUAGCUGGGCCUUUUCAAUCUGGAGACUUAUAUCCCUCUAAUCUAGGAAAUUUUCUUGUAUUAUUUUUUCGAUAAUUUUCUCCCCUCCUAUUUUUUUUUCCCCUGAAACAGUGUUGUGCUAUGUUGCACAGGCUGGAAUGCAGUGGCAUGAUCAUGGCUCACUGCAGCUUCAAGUGAUCCUGCCACCUCAGCCUCCCGAGUAGCUAGGACUACAGGUGCAUACCACCAUGCCUGAGUAAUUUUUCUAUUUUUUGUAGAAAUGGGGUCUCACUGUGUUGCCCAGCUGGUCUCAAACUCCUGGGCUCAAGCAAUCCCCCUGCCUCGGCCUCCCAAACUGUUGGGACUACAGGAAUGAGACACCAGACUUGGCUCUCCCCUCCAUUUUUUUCUCUUUCUGGAAUUUCUCUUAGUCAGAAGUUAUACUUUCCAAACUGAGUUUCUAAUUUUCUCUGUUUUUCUCUUAUUGUCCCUCUUUUUGGCUCUUUUGUUCUACUCUGUGGGAGAUUUCCAUCCAUAUCUUUAUUUUUAGUGUCUAUCUCUUCUAUGGAAGAAUCUGGGCUCACCUUUUAGUCAUCAAAUCAAUAUUCCCUGCAGACAUUUGGGUCAUAACUUCCUCCCCCUGUUAAGUCAGUUACUACUUCCCCUUCUGUCCCUGUUUUCUAAAAACUUGCUGAAAUCCCUGGGCCACUAAUGUCUCCUUUUCAUUCCUAUUCAUGUUCUGGGUUAAUACAUUUUUUAUUCCUUAUUGCCAUAUAGAUGGGGUUCGAGGGAGAAAAA